GGGGAUUUAGCUCAGUGGUAGAGCGCUUACCUAGGAAGCACAAGGCCCUGGGUUCAGUUCCCAGCUCCG
rnacentral:tRNA from 1 species